rnacentral:rRNA from 11 species
GUGGGGACUCAUGGGAGACUGCCGGGGUCAACUCGGAGGAAGGUGGGGAUGACGUCAAGUCAUCAUGCCCCUUAUGUCCAGGGCUUCACGCAUGCUACAAUGGCUGGUACAAAGGGUUGCGAUCCCGUGAGGGUGAGCGAAUCCCGUAAAGCCAGUCUCAGUUCGGAUUGGGGUCUGCAACUCGACCCCAUGAAGUCGGAGUCGCUAGUAAUCGCAGAUCAGCAACGCUGCGGUGAAUACGUUCCCGGGCCUUGUACACACCG